AGAGUUUGAUCAUGGCUCAGAACGAACGCUGGCGGCGUGGAUUAGGCAUGCAAGUCGAACGAUCCUUCGGGAUAGUGGCGAAAGGGUGAGUAAUACGUGGAUAAUCUACCUUUGAGAUGGGGAUAACCUUGGGAAACCGAGGCUAAUACCGAAUAAAACUACUUGGUCGCAAGACAGAGCAGUUAAAGGUCCUCGCAAGAGUUCCACUCAAAGAUGAGUCCAUGUCCUAUUAGUUAGUUGGUAGGGUAACGGCCUACCAAGACAAUGAUGGGUAGCCGGCCUAAGAGGGUGGCCGGCCACACUGGGACUGAGACACUGCCCAGACUCCUACGGGAGGCUGCAGUCGAGAAUCUUCCGCAAUGGGCGAAAGCCUGACGGAGCGACGCCGCGUGGAGGAUGAAGGCCUUCGGGUCGUAAACUCCUGUCAGCUUGGAAUAAAGGCUGCUUUACUGUAGCCUGACUGUACAAGCAGAGGAAGCUCCGGCUAACUCCGUGCCAGCAGCCGCGGUAAUACGGAGGGAGCUAGCGUUGUUCGGAUUUAUUGGGCGUAAAGGGCAUGUAGGCGGCUUCGUAAGUCGGGUGUGAAAGCCCACUGCUCAACGGUGGAAUUGCAUUCGAAACUGCGUGGCUAGAGUUCAGGGGAAGAGAGCGGAAUUCUCGGUGUAGCGGUGAAAUGCGUAGAUAUCGAGAAGAACACCAGUGGCGAAGGCGGCUCUCUAUACUGAAACUGACGCUGAGGUGCGAAAGCCAGGGGAGCGAACGGGAUUAGAUACCCCGGUAGUCCUGGCCGUAAACGAUGUGCACUUGGUGUUGGGCUGCGAGGCUCAGUGCCGGAGUUAACGCAUUAAGUGCACCGCCUGGGGAGUACGACCGCAAGGUUGAAACUCAAAGGAAUUUACGGGGGCCCGCACAAGCGGUGGAGCAUGUGGCUCAAUUCGACGCAACGCGAAGAACCUUACCGGGGCUUGACAUGCAGCUGCGCAUCCCGUGAAAACGGGACUCCUUCGAGGGUGCUGCACAGGUGCUGCAUGGCUGUCGUCAGCUCGUGCCGUGAGGUGUUUGGUUAAGUCCAGCAACGAGCGCAACCCUUAUCCUUAGUUGCCAGCAUUUCGGAUGGGCACUCUAGGGAGACUGCCCCAGUUAAUGGGGAGGAAGGUGGGGAUGACGUCAAGUCCUCAUGGCCCUUAUGUCCCGGGCUGCACACGUGCUACAAUGGCUGGUACAAUGGGUAGCAAAACCGUGAGGUUAAGCUAAUCCCCUAAAACCGGCCUCAGUUCGGAUUGAAGUCUGCAACUCGACUUCAUGAAGCUGGAAUCGCUAGUAAUGGCGCAUCAGCUACGGCGCCGUGAAUACGUUCCCGGGCCUUGUACACACCGCCCGUCACAUCCCGAAAGUUCGCUGUACCAGAAGUCACUGUACCAACCUCGUCUUCGGGCGAGGAGGAAAGUGCCGAAGGUAUGAUUAAUGAUUGGGAUGAAGUCGUAACAAGGUA
rnacentral:rRNA from 1 species